rnacentral:lncRNA from 1 species
UAUUGAGAAGUAUAUUAUGAUAUAUUAAUUCAAGAAAGGACUAAAUUGUAAAAGUGAGAAAAGUUUUGUUGCACAAGAGUAAAUAUUCAUAAUUUGAAGGGUUAAAGUGUAAAUAUGAAAAAGUUGAAGGACCAAUAGUGUAAAUAAUUUAAGAGUGGAAUGAUCUAGAAACUAAGGAAAAUGGAUGAAUUAGGACCAAAUUG